rnacentral:rRNA from 1 species
CCUACGGGAGGCAGCAGUGAGGAAUAUUGGUCAAUGGACGCAAGCCUGAACCAGCCAAGCCGCGUGCAGGAAGACGGCUCUAUGAGUUGUAAACUUCUUUUGUACGAGGGUAAACGCAGAUACGCGUACCUGUCUGAAAGUAUCUUACGAAUAAGGAUCGGCUAACUCCGUGCCAGCAGCCGCGGUAAUACGGAGGAUUCAAGCGUUAUCCGGAUUUAUUGGGUUUAAAGGGUGCGUAGGCGGUCUGUUAAGUUAGAGGUGAAAUCCCGAGGCUCAACUUCGGAAGUGCCUCUGAUACUGGUCGGCUAGAGAGUAGUUGCGGUAGGCGGAAUGUAUGGUGUAGCGGUGAAAUGCUUAGAGAUCAUACAGAACACCGAUUGCGAAGGCAGCUUACCAAGUUACUUCUGACGUUGAGGCACGAAAGCGUGGGGAGCAAACAGGAUUAGAUACCCCAGUAGUC